rnacentral:rRNA from 1 species
AGAGCGAACGCUGGCGGCAGGCUUAACACAUGCAAGUCGAGCGGGCGUAGCAAUACGUCAGCGGCAGACGGGUGAGUAACGCGUGGGAACGUACCUUUUGGUUCGGAACAACACAGGGAAACUUGUGCUAAUACCGGAUAAGCCCUUACGGGGAAAGAUUUAUCGCCGAAAGAUCGGCCCGCGUCUGAUUAGCUAGUUGGUGAGGUAAUGGCUCACCAAGGCGACGAUCAGUAGCUGGUCUGAGAGGAUGAUCAGCCACAUUGGGACUGAGACACGGCCCAAACUCCUACGGGAGGCAGCAGUGGGAAUAUUGGACAAUGGGCGCAAGCCUGAUCCAGCCAUGCCGCGUGAGUGAUGAAGGCCCUAGGGUUGUAAAGCUCUUUUGUGCGGGAAGAUAAUGACGGUACCGCAAGAAUAAGCCCGGCUAACUUCGCGCCAGCAGCCGC